GGGGGGGGGGGGGGGGGGGGGGGGGGGGGGGGGGGCGGGCGGGAAGGCCCUGCUUUUGUGGGGUGCUCGAGUGGCGAACGGGUGGGUAACACGUGAGUAACCUGCCCUUGACUUUGGGAUAACUUCAGGAAACUGGGGCUAAUACCGGCUAGGAGCUCCUGCUGCAUGGUGGGGGUUGGAAAGUUUCGGCGGUUGGGGAUGGACUCGCGGCUUAUCAGCUUGUUGGUGGGGUAGUGGCUUACCAAGGCUUUGACGGGUAGCCGGCCUGAGAGGGUGACCGGCCACAUUGGGACUGAGAUACGGCCCAGACUCCUACGGGAGGCAGCAGUGGGGAAUAUUGCACAAUGGGCGGAAGCCUGAUGCAGCAACGCCGCGUGCGGGAUGACGGCCUUCGGGUUGUAAACCGCUUUCGCCUGUGACGAAGCGUGAGUGACGGUAAUGGGUAAAGAAGCACCGGCUAACUACGUG
rnacentral:rRNA from 1 species